rnacentral:rRNA from 1 species
UACGUAGGGGGCAAGCGUUGUCCGGAAUUAUUGGGCGUAAAGAGCGCGUAGGCGGUCCGAUAAGUCGGCUGUGAAAGUCAGGGGCUCAACCCUUGAAAGCCGGCCGAUACUGUCGGACUAGAGUCCGGAAGAGGCAAGUGGAAUUCCCGAUGUAGCGGUGAAAUGCGCAGAUAUCGGGAGGAACACCAAUGGCGAAGGCAGCUUGCUGGGACGGUACUGACGCUGAGGCGCGAAAGCGUGGGGAGCGAACAGG